rnacentral:rRNA from 2 species
UAGGUCUCCUGAAGGAACGUUGAAGACGACGACGUUGAUAGGCCGGGUGUGUAAGCGCAGCGAUGCGUUGAGCUAACCGGUACUAAUGAACCGUGAGGCUUAACCUU